rnacentral:piRNA from 1 species
UAGAAGUCCUCCCUGUUGACACUGGUGCUG